rnacentral:miRNA from 10 species
CCUUGUCGCACAUUCGCCACAGU